GGUUAUGGAGUGGAGCUUAACUUCAAGUCUAAAUGCGGUUCUUGUUAGGCUGAUUCUCAUGCUGAGCUAUGGUCCCACAGUUCUACCCAUGACACGACAUGCCUUUUUUUUGUGGUAAUUCUGUUGCGUGCAUAUCUUGGGAGCUUUAUUACCUCUUGUCAGAUCCUUAUUUGGAUUGAAGGAAGUUCCAACCCUUCAUCUC
rnacentral:pre_miRNA from 1 species